rnacentral:pre_miRNA from 1 species
UUACGUGCGUCGCUGUGACAAUGAAUGUCAGUUGUAAUAUUUAUUUUACGUGCGUCGUAAAUAUUACAACUGACAUUCAUUGUCACAGCGACGCACGUAAA